rnacentral:tRNA from 1 species
CAUUAAGAAGCUAAUAUAGCGUUAACCUUUUAAGUUAAAGACUGAGGAUGCAGACUUCUCCUUAAUGA